AUUGUUGUAAGUGGUCUGCUCAUUUGAAUUUCUCAAUAGCCUGCAAUCUGAUCACCUGCUGCAGCCAAGCCUGCCCAUGGAUUACGCUGGACCUACCUUGGACCUGACUUCCCUUGCUUUGCCCAUGGACAGUUCGGAUGUUGCAUCUUGCCUGACCUUUUGUUGUUGACUCUGCUUAUUUGGACCCUCACCUGGACACUGCUUUGGCUGUUGUCCAAAUUGGUGUUGUUGCUGGCAAGUCUCUUGCUUCCUCAGGAGUCUAAUGAGAACAGGACAGUGUUCCCCCUUCACUGUUUCACUGGCCACUACUGGCUACUUACUCGGUACAGCAGUGGUGAGGAUGGGGUUGUGCUGGCACACCAGCCGGACUACAGGUUUGGCUCCACCAGUGUGCUAAUCAGCCCCAACUUUGCAGUGAUGGAUGCUCCUGGUAAAUCCCAUGAUCCACAGCAGGAAUUGAUGUUCACCCUGGCAUUUGACACCUGCGAUAUAUGUUUUCAGGAGCCACCUUAUUCCUGUGUUUGUAAAUUUGUUUUAAACUAUUUUUAAUAUUGAAUUUUAAAUUGUUGUAACCUGCCUGGAACCUUAGUGAGAAGGGCAGGUAAGAAAUGAAAAUAACAACAAUAAGUGUGUUCCUGAGCAUGUUCUGAAGUGUCAUUUCCAGCUAUGAACAGACUCUGGUAGGCCUUCCCAGUGCUGAUCACCCCUGCCCCCUUGAAAACGUAAGGGAAUAUGUUUGUUUGUUUGGGAAGAGGGGGAAUGACAGGAGAGGGCUAAGGGGCAACAAGUGUUGAGGGCAACCCCCAUGUGGAGCUAUACCCAGUGCUCUUUUGUGACAGUACUCACUGCUAUGGAGUACUUGCACCUCCUACAUGAUCUCUGUCUAAGAAUGUAGAGAUAUGUUUCCUCCUAUAUACACAUCUCUAAAUGUCCAGAGGAGUAGGGUGGCUAGAUGGAAAAGAGAUCAAGGCUCCUGCACCGUUAAUAGUUAUGUAGAAGAGGAAGGUGUCAUUGGUAAUGCCAUUCCCUCUUUACCCAACUAUUAAAAAUAUGCUUUGAUCUCUCAAAGAUGCAGGUCAUGAAAAGCUCUCAGCCCAACAUGGGGUCAGCUGAGGUCUCUCCUCAGAGCUGUUGAGGAUGGAACAGUAGAUGGGAGGGAAGGUACCUUUUAUUGAUAAUGGGCUGGAAAUAGCAGCAUAUGGAAGAUUUCUGCAUCACACUAGCCACUGGUACCACCAGGAACAGCAGGAAGAUUUUGUCCUUAUCCCAGUGGUGUUUUGGGGAGCAAUAGCAAACGGCUGCCAUCUAUGUCUAUGGCAAAAAAUAAAAUGCUGCUCUUGGGAACAACACUGCACUGGGGCAAAUUUUUUGUGUUGAACUUGCCCUAUAUUAUGUAAUGGAAUGUACUUCUGUGAUGAAGCUGCCCUUGGACAUUUUUGAUGUUCUGGUAUUGAUCUUGUAUUCACCCCACCCCGCUCUUCUGAUUUGGAUUCUAUAAUUGGACUGCAUUGAUUGUAUUGGAAUAUGUUUUUAUGUAAACCGCAUUGUAGAACUGAGAAAUGGUAUAACUCCCCCCCCCAAAUAAAUGAGACCCCACCCUCUUUUGCAUCCGGUCAGUAGGGAUGGGCAAACCUGUCA